rnacentral:rRNA from 1 species
UACGGGGGGAGCAAGCGUUGUUCGGAUUUACUGGGCGUAAAGGGCGCGUAGGCGGCCACCGCAAGUCGAUUGUGAAAUCUCCGGGCUUAACCCGGAAAGGUCAACCGAUACUGCGGGGCUAGAGUGCAGAAGGGGCAACUGGAAUUCUCGGUGUAGCGGUGAAAUGCGUAGAUAUCGAGAGGAACACCUGCGGCGAAGGCGGGUUGCUGGGCUGACACUGACGCUGAGGCGCGAAAGCGUGGGGAGCGAUCCGG